rnacentral:rRNA from 1 species
CGUAGGGACCAAGCGUUGUUCGGAUUUACUGGGCGUAAAGGGCGCGUAGGCGGCGCGGUAAGUCACUUGUGAAAUCUCUGAGCUUAACUCAGAACGGCCAAGUGAUACUGCAGUGCUAGAGUGUGGAAGGGGCAAUCGGAAUUCUUGGUGUAGCGGUGAAAUGCGUAGAUAUCAAGAGGAACACCUGAGGUGAAGACGGGUUGCUGGGCCAACACUGACGCUGAGGCGCGAAAGCCAGGGGAGCAAACGGGAUUAGAUACCCCGGUAGUCCUGGCCCUAAACGAUGAAUACUUGGUGUCUGGAGUUUUAAUGCUCCGGGUGCCGUCGCUAACGUUUUAGUAUUCCGCCUGGGGAGUACGCUCGCAAGAGUG